rnacentral:rRNA from 1 species
AUUGAACGCUGGCGGCAGGCUUAACACAUGCAAGUCGAGCGGGGGAAGGUAGCUUGCUACUGGACCUAGCGGCGGACGGGUGAGUAAUGCUUAGGAAUCCGCCUAUUAGUGGGGGACAACAUCUCGAAAGGGAUGCUAAUACCGCAUACGUCCUACGGGAGAAAGCAGGGGAUCUUCGGACCUUGCGCUAAUAGAUGAGCCUAAGUCGGAUUAGCUAGUUGGUGGGGUAAAGGCCUACCAAGGCGACGAUCUGUAGCGGGUCUGAGAGGAUGAUCCGCCACACUGGGACUGGGACACGGCCCAGACUCCUACGGGAGGCAGCAGUAGGGAAUAUUGGACAAUGGGGGGAACCCUGAUCCAGCCAUGCCGCGUGUGUGAAGAAGGCCUUAUGGUUGUAAAGCACUUUAAGCGAGGAGGAGGCUACUUUAGUUAAUACCUAGAGAUAGUGGACGUUACUCGCAGAAUAAGCACCGGCUAACUCUGUGCCAGCCGCCGCCGUAA